rnacentral:rRNA from 1 species
UACGAAGGGGGCUAGCGUUGUUCGGAAUCACUGGGCGUAAAGCGCACGUAGGCGGAUGUGCCAGUCAGGGGUGAAAUCCCGGAGCUCAACUUCGGAACUGCCUCUGAUACAGCACGUCUUGAGUCCGGAAGAGGUGGGUGGAAUUCCUAGUGUAGAGGUGAAAUGCGUAGAUAUUGGGAGGAACACCAGUGGCGAAGGCGGCUCACUGGACCGGUUCUGACGCUGAUGCGCGAAAGCGUGGGGAGCAAACGGG